AGGACUAACGCUGGCGGCGUGCCUAACACAUGCAAGUCGAACGGACACCACUUUGUAGCAAUACAGAUGAAGUGUUAGUGGCAGACGGGUGAGUAACACGUAGUCAACCUGCCUUACCGUCCGGGAUAACUAGCCGAAAGGUUAGCUAAUACCUGAUACGAUCGUCGAGCGGCAUCGCUUGACGAUGAAAGCAGCAAUGCGCGGUUAGAGGGGGCUGCGGCCCAUUAGCUAGUUGGUGAGGUAAUGGCCCACCAAGGCAACGAUGGGUAGCUGGUCUGAGAGGACGACCAGCCACACUGGGACUGAGACACGGCCCAGACUCCUACGGGAGGCAGCAGUGAGGAAUUUUCCGCAAUGGGCGAAAGCCUGACGGAGCGACGCCGCGUGCACGAGGAAGGCCUUCGGGUCGUAAAGUGCUGUCGAGGGGGACGAUUAGUGACGGUACCCUGGAGGAAGCCCGGCUAACUACGUGCCAGUAGCCGCGGU
rnacentral:rRNA from 1 species